UACAGAGAGUGCAAACGUUGUUCGGAAUUACUGGGCUUGAAGCGCACGUAGGCGGCGUUGUAAGUGUCGGGGGAAAUCCCACGGCUCACCCGUGGAACUGCCCGGCAUACUGCGAUGCUAGAGUGUGGUAGGGGAGAGCGGAACUCCUGGUGGAGCGGUGAAAUGCGUAGAUAUCAGGAGGAACACCGGUGGCGAAGGCGGCUCUCUGGUCCACAACUGACGCUGAGGUGCGAAAGCUAGGGGAGCAAACGGG
rnacentral:rRNA from 1 species